rnacentral:tRNA from 1 species
AAGACUUUAAGUUAAGUACAAACUAAUAUCCUUCAAAGUUAUAAAUAAAGAGAUUUAUCUUUAAGUCUUA